rnacentral:rRNA from 1 species
CUGGGAUAACUCCGGGAAACCGGGGCUAAUACCGGAUGCUUGAUUGAACCGCAUGGUUCAAUCAUAAAAGGUGGCUUUUAGCUACCACUUACAGAUGGACCCGCGGCGCAUUAGCUAGUUGGUGAGGUAACGGCUCACCAAGGCGACGAUGCGUAGCCGACCUGAGAGGGUGAUCGGCCACACUGGGACUGAGACACGGCCCAGACUCCUACGGGAGGCAGCAGUAGGGAAUCUUCCGCAAUGGACGAAAGUCUGACGGAGCAACGCCGCGUGAGUGAUGAAGGUUUUCGGAUCGUAAAACUCUGUUGUUAGGGAAGAACAAGUACCGUUCGAAUAGGGCGGUACCUUGACGGUUCCUAACCAGAAAGCCACGGCUAACUACGUGCCAGCAGCCGCGGUAAUACGUAGGUGGCAAGCGUUGUCCGGAAUUAUUGGGCGUAAAGCGCGCGCAGGCGGUUUCUUAAGUCUGAUGUGAAAGCCCCCGGCUCAACCGGGGAGGGUCAUUGGAAACUGGGGAACUUGAGUGCAGAAGAGGAGAGUGGAAUUCCACGUGUAGCGGUGAAAUGCGUAGAGAUGUGGAGGAACACCAGUGGCGAAGGCGACUCUCUGGUCUGUAACUGACGCUGAGGCGCGAAAGCGUGGGGAGCGAACAGGAUUAGAUACCCUGGUAGUCCACGGCGUAAACGAUGAGUGCUAAGUGUUAGAGGGUUUCCGCCCUUUAGUGCUGCAGCAAACGCAUUAAGCACUCCGCCUGGGGAGUACGGUCGCAAGACUGAAACUCAAAGGAAUUGACGGGGGCCCGCACAAGCGGUGGAGCAUGUGGUUUAAUUCGAAGCAACGCGAAGAACCUUACCAGGUCUUGACAUCCUCUGACAACCCUAGAGAUAGGGCUUCCCCUUCGGGGGCAGAGUGACAGGUGGUGCAUGGUUGACGUCAGCUCGUGUCGUGAGAUGUUGGGUUAAGUCCCGCAACGAGCGCAACCCUUGAUCUUAGUUGCCAGCAUUCAGUUGGGCACUCUAAGGUGACUGCCGGUGACAAACCGGAGGAAGGUGGGGAUGACGUCAAAUCAUCAUGCCCCUUAUGACCUGGGCUACACACGUGCUACAAUGGGCAGAACAAAGGGCAGCGAAGCCGCGAGGCUAAGCCAAUCCCACAAAUCUGUUCUCAGUUCGGAUCGCAGUCUGCAACUCGACUGCGUGAAGCUGGAAUCGCUAGUAAUCGCGGA